GAGAUAUUUCACUUCAUGCAUAAUGAAGAAAGUUGUUGAACCAAUACGUUAGAAAUACGUGAUUUACAGAGAAAUAAUGAUUUGUUAUUUCUUACUUAUUUGGCCUGUGUGGCUUAAGUUUAAGGAAAAAAAUCAAGCAUUUCAAGUAUCAUCAUUCAGGGCAGCUUUAGUAGCAGGCAUUCCUAUUCUUGUGUGAAAUAUUGUUUGCUAAUAGUGAAUAGAGAACCUUGAUAUUUUAUUUCCUACAUUUUAAGUAUUCCAACUCAAAUGAUAAACCAGAAAACUGCAGUCACUGGAACACUUUGAGCUUUGAUUACAUUGCGUGUGUUUGUAAUACCUGUUCCUCAAAGAACUCAUUCAACCAGUACAGAAUGCGCCCCAGAACAAUUUUCCCUUUUCUCUCGCAUUGCAUCUUUUACAUUAGCUUAUGCCGUAACAUUCCAUACGAACGCUUCUGACAUUUUGUGCUGAGACAUAUGAAAAUCGAUUAAGCUUCUCUAAGAAUGCUACCUUGUUUAGCAGUAUUUCUGCUUUGUUUUGAAAACAGAGAAACGUGAAAUCUCCAAUCUGAGGGAAAGAUUCAUGAUGAUGAUCUGGGAGCUGCUAAAUCACCCACCUGCUUCCCCAGCUGACCAACAAAGAGGUAGAAUAUCAUACAGGAGUGAGUUGAUGCAAGAUGGAGAGAGGAGAAAGAAAAGGAGCCUACCAAGAAAUAGCAGCACAAAGGACAGUGAACAAGAUCAUGUUGUCCAGAUGCCAAUUUCAGGAAAAACAGCUGUCCAGAUUUUAGGGAGAAAACUACUUCCUCAAGGCACCUGGAGUGAGUUGAUACUGUACAAGUCCCUUUUUGUGUGGAAAAUGUUAUACGCCUCUGACAACUGAAGACCAAGGCACAUAAGUUUCCCAAAAGUGCUGCAUAUGUGUGAUUCCUUUAACCUAUCACAAUGAUUUCCUGGGAAGUUACAGACUUGCAGCUGCAACUUUGACCUAUAAUUCAGUGAUUUUAUGAGAAAAAAUGUACUAGUGAAAAGUGUUCCAGUGAAAAGCUGAGUAUUUCAAAACAAAACAAAACUGCAUAUAAAGCCUCUCUUUUUCAAUAUCUGUUUUUUAUGACAUUUUCUGGUCACACUAAAAUGUCUUCACUGAACUAAAGGAAGACAUGUUCAAGUGAGAACUAAUAAUAUGCUGUAGUUAAGGAAGCUUAUUAUAAUAAUAAUAAAAAAAUAAUAAGCUACA
rnacentral:lncRNA from 1 species